rnacentral:misc_RNA from 1 species
GAUGAAGAACGUAGCGAAAUGCGAUAAGUAAUGUGAAUUGCAGAAUUCCGUGAAUCAUCGAAUCUUUGAACGCACAUUGCGCCCCCUGGUAUUCCGGGGGGCAUGCCUGUCCGAGCGUCAUUGCAACCUUCAAGCGCGGCUUGUGUGUUGGGUCUCGUCCCCCGUGGACGGGCCCGAAAGGCAGUGGCGGCGUCCCGACAUGGUGCCCGAGCGUUUGGGAAUCCUCUUCCGCUCGAAUCGGCCCAUGCGGCGCUGGUCGUAACCAAAUUUUUUACCGGUUGACCUCGGAUCAGGUAGGGAUACCCGCUGAACUUAAGCAUAUCAAUAAGCGGAGGA